UUUAAAGCAAUUAAGGGCGUAUGGUGGAUGCCUUGGCUCUAAGAGGCGAUGAAGGACGUGGUAAGCUGCGAUAAGCUGCGGGGAGCUGCACACAAGCAUUAGAUCCGCAGAUUUCCGAAUGGGACAACCCAGUACACUGAAGGUGUAUUAUCCGAAAGGAAGCUAACCCAGGGAACUGAAACAUCUAAGUACCUGGAGGAAAAUAAAACAAACGUGAUUUCCUGAGUAGUGGCGAGCGAAAAGGAAACAGCCCAAACCGCAGUGGCGUGCUGCUGCGGGGUUGUAGGACCGCAUUUAGAAACUGUCAUCAAACUGAACCUUCUGGAAAGUUGGGCCAUAGCGUGUGAUAGCCACGUAAGUACAAAUUGACAGGGACGAGCGGUAUCCUGAGUAAGGCGGGACCGGAGGAAUCCUGCCUGAAUCUGCCGGCACCAUCCGGUAAGGCUAAAUACUCCUUAGAGACCGAUAGUGAACCAGUACCGUAAGGGAAAGGUGAAAAGCACCCCAAACAGGGGAGUGAAAUAGUACCUGAAACCGUACGCCUACAAGCGGUCGGAGCUUCGCAAGAAGUGACGGCGUGCCUUUUGCAUAAUGAGCCUACGAGUUACUCCUCACUGGCAAGGUUAAGUUCUUUAGUAACGGAGCCGUAGCGAAAGCGAGUCCAAAUAGGGCGACUAGUCAGUGGGGGUAGACGCGAAACUUUGUGAUCUAUCCAUGGGCAGGUUGAAGGUGUGGUAACACACACUGGAGGACCGAACUCAUGAGCGUUGAAAAGCUCUGGGAUGACCUGUGGAUAGGGGUGAAAGGCCAAUCAAACUGAGAGAUAGCUCGUUCUCCCCGAAAUGUUUUUAGGAACAGCCUCGGAUUAUAGACGUAUGUUAGAGGUAGAGCUACUGAUUGGGCUAGGGGGCUUCACCGCCUACCAAACCCUGACAAACUCCGAAUGCUAACAUAUAUCUCCGGGAGUGAGGCUGCGGGUGCUAAGAUCCGUGGCCGAGAGGGAAAUAACCCAGAUUAGCAACUAAGGUCCCUAAUCUACAGCUAAGUUGAUCAAACGAAGUUUGAACCCUAUAACAGCCAGGAUGUUGGCUUGGAAGCAGCCAUUCAUUUAAAGAGUGCGUAACAGCUCACUGGUCGAGGGUUCAAGCACGGAAAAUAAUCGGGCAUCAAGCUGCAAACCGAAGUUCUAAGAUUGCCACUCGGUGGUACAUCGGUAGGGGAGCAUUCUGAUCCGCUGCGAAGGUGUAUGGCGACAUAUGCUGGAGCGUUCAGAAAAGAAAAUGUAGGCAUAAGUAACGAUAAUUAAAGUGAAAAACUUUAACGCCGAAAGUCUAAGGGUUCCUGAUCAACGUUAAUCGGAUCAGGGUUAGUCGGGUCCUUAGGAAAACCCGAAAGGGGCAUCUGAUGGAAAACUGGUUAAUAUUCCAGUACCCGCUUUAGUUUCGAUGGGGCGACGCGGAAGUGAACCUCACACGAUGGAUACGGAAUUCCACGUUUAAGUACGUAGCUAUAUUUUUUGCAGGCAAAUCCGCAGAGAAUGGCGAAAUACGAAAGUAUAUGAGGGCUUCGGCCCGAUUGAGUGAGCUAUAUAACCGCCAAGAAAAACCUCUAAGGUUAGGCUAAAGCGGCCCGUACCGUAAACCGACACAGGUAGACGAGAAGAGUAUUCUAAGGCGCUCGGGUGAGCCGUGGAGAAGGAACUCGGCAAAUUAACGCUGUAACUUCGGGAUAAAGCGUACCAUCUUCGGAUGGUCUCAGUAAAAUGGUUCAACCAACUGUUUAACAAAAACACAGGGCCCUGCAAAAUCGAAAGAUGACGUAUAGAGCCUGAUACCUGCCCGGUGCUGGAAGGUUAAGGAAGGAUGUUCGGCGCAAGCCAAAGCUUCUGACUGAAGCCCCAGUAAACGGCGGCCGUAACUAUAACGGUCCUAAGGUAGCGAAAUUCCUUGUCGGGUAAGUUCCGACCUGCACGAAUGGUCUAAUGAGUUGAACGCUGUCUCCUCCACGAGCCCGGUGAAAUUGUAGUAUCGGUGAAGAUGCCGGUUACCCGUCACGGGACGGAAAGACCCCGUGAACCUUCACUACAACUUUGCAUUGAUUUUGAAUUACGGAUGUGUAGAAUAGUUGGGACACUUUGAAGCAGUGGCGCUAGCCAUUGUGGAGUGGUCGUUGAAAUACCAACCUUCUUUGAUUUAGAGUCUAACCCCUUGCGGGGAACAGUGCAUGGUGGGUAGUUUGACUGGGGUGGUCGCCUCCUAAAGUGUAACGGAGGCUUGCAAAGGUACCCUCAGUACGGUUGGUAAUCGUACGAAGAGCGCAUUAGUAUAAGGGUGCUUGACUGUGAGGCAUACAGGCCGAGCAGGAGCGAAAGCUGGCUAAAGUGAUCCGGCGGUUCUGCAUGGAAGGGCCGUCGCUCAAAGGAUAAAAGGUACUCCGGGGAUAACAGGCUGAUCUCCCCCAAGAGCUCAUAUCGACGGGGAGGUUUGGCACCUCGAUGUCGGUUCGUCACAUCCUGGGGCUGGAGAAGGUCCCAAGGGUUCGGCUGUUCGCCGAUUAAAGUGGCACGUGAACUGGGUUCAGAACGUCGCAAGACAGUUCGGUCCCUAUCUGUGAUGGGCGCUAGAAAAUUGAGUGGACAUGACCUUAGUACGAGAGGACCGGGUCGUACGUACCGCUGGUGUAUCUGUUGUGCCGCCAGGUGCAGUGCAGAGUAGCUAUGUACGGACAGGAUAAACGCUGAAAGCAUCUAAGCGUGAAACCUACCACGAGAUGAGUUUUCUUUUAAGGGUCGUCAGAGACUAUGACGUUGAUAGGCUAUAGGUAUAAAACUGGUAACAGUAAAGCCGAGUAGUACUAAUUGCCCGUAUGCUUUAAUUU
rnacentral:rRNA from 1 species